AUACGGAGGGUGCGAGCGUUACUCGGAGUCACUGGGCGUAGAGCGUCCGUAGGCGGUCGGGUAAGUCGGGUGUGAAAGCCCCGGGCUCAACCUGGGAAGUGCACCCGAUACUGCUCGACUCGAGUGCGGGAGAGGAUGGCGGAAUUCCCGGUGUAGCGGUGAAAUGCGUAGAGAUCGGGAGGAACACCAGUGGCGAAGGCGGCCAUCUGGCCCGCAACUGACGCUGAGGGACGAAAGCGUGGGGAGCAAACAGGAUUAGAAACCCUAGUAGUCC
rnacentral:rRNA from 1 species